GGAAUGGUAUUACGUCUAAAGGUAUUUCAUACAUGUUUGAAAUAUGCCUAAGGAUGGGGCUGCGGCCGAUCAGGCUGUUGGUGAGGUAAUGGCUCACCAAACCUUUGACCGGUACGGGCCAUGAGAGUGGUAGCCCGGAGAUGGACACUGAGACAAGGGUCCAGGCCCUAAGGGGCGCAGCAACCGCGAAACCUCCACAAUGCACUCACGUGCGAUGGGGCUAUCUCGAGUGCCACCUGAUGAAGGUGGCUUUUCCUUGGUCUUCAAAGCCUUGGGAAUAAGAGGGGGGCAAGACUGGUGUCAGCCGCCGCGGUAACACCAGCCCCUCGAGUGGUGGGGAUGAUUAUUUGGCCUAAAGCGUCCGUAGCCGGCCGAGCAAGUCUUCCGUUAAAUCCAGCUCUCAAGCGUUGGACCGCGGGAGAUACUACAUGGCUAGAGAGUGGGAGAGGUCAGCGGUAUUCUGGGGGUAGGGGCGAAAUCCUUUGAUCCCCGGAGGACCACCAGUGGCGAAGGCUGCUGACUAGAACACGUCUGACGGUCAGGGACGAAAGCUGGGGUAGCGAACCGGAUUAGAUACCCGGGUAGUCCCAGCCGUAAACGAUGCAUGCUAGGUGUUGGGUUGGCCACGAGCCACCCCAGUGCCGCAGGGAAGCCGUUAAGCAUGCCGCCUGGGAAGUACGAUCGCAAGAUUGAAACUUAAAGGAAUUGGCGGGGGAGCACCACCAGGCGUGAAGCCUGCGGUUUAAUUGGAGUCAACGCCGGGAACCUUACCGGGAGCGACAGCAGAAUGAAGGCCAGAUUGAAGAUCUUGCCAGACGAGCUGAGAGGAGGUGCAUGGCCGUCGCCAGUUCGUGCCGUGAGGUGUUCUCUUAAGUGAGAUAACGAACGAGACCCGUGCCACAUGUUGCCACCAGUAUCUAAAGGAUAGCUGAGCACUCUUGUGGGACCGCAGCCGAUAAGGCUGAGGAAGGUACGGGCAACGGCAGGUCAGUAUGCCCCGAAUCUCCCGGGCCACACGCGGGCUGCAAUGGUAUAGACAGAGGGCUGCCACCCCGAAAGGGGGAGCCAAUCCCUAAACUGUACCUCAGUUGGGAUCGAGGGUUGCAACCCACCCUCGUGAACAUGGAAUGCCUAGUAACCGCCAGUCAUCAUCUGGCGGUGAAUACGUCCCUGCUCCUUGCACACACUGCCCGUCGAACCACCCGAAUGAGGUUUGGGUGAGGAAUGGUCGAAUGUUGGCCGUUUCGAACCUGGGCCUCGUAAGGAGGGUUAAGUCGUAACAAGGUG
rnacentral:rRNA from 1 species